AGCAGUAGCCGCGGGAAUACGUAGGGUGCGAGCGUUAAUCGGAAUUACUGGGCGUAAAGCGUGCGCAGGCGGUUGUGUAAGACAGGUGUGAAAUCCCCGGGCUUAACCUGGGAACUGCGCUUGUGACUGCACAGCUAGAGUAUGGCAGAGGGGGGUGGAAUUCCACGUGUAGCAGUGAAAUGCGUAGAGAUGUGGAGGAACACCGAUGGCGAAGGCAGCCCCCUGGGCCAAUACUGACGCUCAUGCACGAAAGCGUGGGGAGCAAACAGGAUUAGAUACCCCUGUAGUCCCUGUCUCUUAUAC
rnacentral:rRNA from 1 species